rnacentral:rRNA from 1 species
AUGUGUGUGUAUAUAUACAUGCGCCCGAUCUCGUCUGAGCUCAGAAGCUAAGCAGGGUCGGGCCUGGUUAGUACUUAGAUGAGAGGAUUGGAUACUCUAUUCCAGACUCUUC